CCAUAGCUCAGUGCUAGAGCAUCUGCUUUGCACGCAGAAGGUUCCAGGUUCACUCAUUGGCAGAUAGG